AAGAAAAAAAUAAAUCUAUAAAUAAAAGAAAUUCCUUCUAUCCUAUCAUUCAAAAACUGUCUUAUAGAUGUUAAUAAAAUAUGGAAUUAUGUUUGAUGUGGCAUGAUUUAAAAUAUUGGAUCCAUAGACACCUAAAAGUUAAUUUUAGAAAUUCUGUAGGCCAACUCAAAGAAAUAAAUUUUCAUAUUUCAAUAUAGCUAAAGCCGAGGAUGAAGUUUUUGUCUAAUCCUGAGGACAACUGAGAUGGUCUGCUGUCAAAUAAAGGCUACGAGGGAGACAGAAGCUUCACCUUGGGAGCCCAUGGGAGUAACUAAAAGAAAAGACACUAUUGCCAGACACUGAUUUUAAAGGCAUCAGAGUUUUCUCGGAGAUCUGAGUUCAGGAGAGGAAAAAACAAACAAACAACUAUCAUUUUAUUGUUGAAAAGCAAAUGACAGAUAAGUGGACUCCAAGAAAAAUCCAGAAAACAUAGAUAUUCUACUAGAAUUCCUGGGAUUAGAUAAAUCAAUUGGUUGAAAAACUGGUCUCAAUGUAGCCUGAUACUCAGAAGUUGGCAUUCUCACAGAAAGAGUCGUUAAGUUACAGCUUGCAAGAUGGGAAAGGGAUCUUCUAACGACAGAGCGGGGUGACACCAGGGAUGUGCAUGUACAACUGACACAGAGAGAAGGUCGCUAUCUUCAAGCCAACAAGAGAGGCCUCAAGAGAAACCAGAACUGCCAACACCUUCAUCUUGGACUUCUGGGCUUCAGAACUGUGAAGAAAUAAAUGUCUGUGUUUAAGACAUUUAGUCAAUGGUAUCUUGUUAUGGCAACCUGAACAGACUAAUACACCACCUUAAGCCUUAUGCUGUGGUCAUACUUCCCACUGUUCUUGGAGUGCCUGGGUGGCUCAGCCAGUUAAGCGUCCGACUUCAGCUCAGGCCAUGAUCUCGAGGUUCAUGGGUUCCAGACCCACAUCAGGCUCUAUGCUGACAGCUAGG